CCCUUAGAUGUUCUGGGCCGCACGCGCGCUACACUGACUGGUGCAACAAGUGUCUGACCUUGGCUCGAGAGGCCUGGGCAACCUUUGAACGCCAGUCGUGCUGGGGAUAGAUUCUUGCAAUUAUUAAUCUUCAACGAGGAAUUCCUAGUAAACGCAAGUCAUCAACUUGCAUUGAUUACGUCCCUGCCCUUUGUACACACCGCCCGUCGCACCUACCGAUUGAAUGGUCCGGUGAAGCCUCCGGAUUGGCGCGCACCUCGGUGCCGCCGAGAAGUUGGCUAAACCUUACCAUUUAGAGGAAGGUGAANUCGUAACA
rnacentral:rRNA from 1 species